AUUGGGUGAUCCAAGUAUAUACAAGGGCUGAGUCUUAUGAUAGGUCAGUCGCAAAAUGUAUUUCUCAUAUUCAAAGUUCUUCCAUUUGUAGAGUUAGAUGUUAUUGUAUGCCAGACAUUUAUAGCAUGUUUACUUGGUGUAAAAUAGUGUGCACUAUCCAUUAUUGACUUGACCAAAGUAUCUUGAAACAUUAUACAGGCAAACAAGUUUCACCUGUUGGAGUAAAUAAAGUGUUCUCCAGAUCAGUGGCAAAGCCACCCCUUUGAACUAGUGGGCCAGUUGACACCACUAGAAUUUUAACCGAUAGUAUAUUUUGGAUGUGCACAAUAUGAUUAUUUAUUUUAGUGUAAAUAGAGUUAAAAUUUCUAAAUACCUCACUGGAAAAAUGAAAAUUUUAUGUUUAGUUGGGUCAAAUUGUCCAAAUUGCAUAGAAAAAGAAAACUUAUCUUUCAUGAAAAAAACCAGCUUCAGACUAUCACUUUUCAUGCAUAGAAGGGAGUUGAGUGAAGGUCUACGGCCUCUCCAUGAAACAUUUAUGGCAUUGAUUCAUUUGUUUGGUUCAAAAGGUUUUGCUACGAGAGGUUUAGAAAUUCAUGUAGCUCACCCUUUGACCCACUUUGCUUUAUCUGAACAUUCAUGUAGAAGAACCAGGAUCACAGAGACAAAGUAGAGCAGAGAAAGGACUGGUAGCAGUUGGUGUGGUCAAGGUGAACAGUUUUCGCCAUACACAGUGGCAGGGAAUUAUUGCAUAUCUAGAUGUACUCAUCAAAUCAGGCCUUCUUCCCAAGACAAAGGACUUCCAAAGUGCCGGCCUCUAAACAUGAUAAUUAUUACUUAUGUGCAUAGAAUUGUAUAUAUUCUCGUGUCUAAUCAGACCAUAUUUAAGAAUCAUUUGUAUCACAUUACAUCCUUGUAAUACUAUGAAAAAUAUUCUUCUAUUUUGAACAUUUAAUUGAUGCUAAAAUAUUUUGUUCUCAAUUA